CAGCCAUGCCGCGUGUGUGAAGAAGGUCUUAGGGUUGUAAAGCACUUUCAGUUGGGAGGAAGGGUUGCUGAUUAAUAUGCUGNAACUUUGACGUUACCGACAGAAUAAGCACCGGCUAACUCUGUGCCAGCAGCCGCGGUAAU
rnacentral:rRNA from 1 species